UACAGAGGGUGCGAGCGUUAAUCGGAAUUACUGGGCGUAAAGCGUGCGUAGACGGUUAUUUAAGUCGGGUGUGAAAGCCCCGGGCUCAACCUGGGAAUUGCAUUCGAGACUGAAUAGCUAGGGUACGGUAGAGGGAAGCGGAAUUUCCGGUGUAGCGGUGAAAUGCGUAGAUAUCAUUUGGAACGCCAAUGGUGAAAACAGGUAGCUGGGGCUGUGCUGACGCUGGAGACACGAAAGCCAGGGGAGCAAACGGG
rnacentral:rRNA from 1 species